UCUCCAAUGUUACAGUGACAAAUUCGUAGCAACAUGUUCCGCAGGAGAGAAGUACUGUUAUAAUAUGAAGUAUGAAUAUGCAAAAAUUAUACGGAAAAACGGAUGUGCUGAUAAAUGCCCUGAACCGGCUUAUGACAUUAACGUCAAAUGUUGUUCAACUAACCUUUGCAAUAAGCCUAUUUAAAAUAUUCUUUUGAGUUUUGCUCUCAUCCACCAUGGACCUUCCAUGGAGAUUUAUGCUUCUGGCCUUUCCCACAAGAUGUCCCAUAAUCCCUCUUCUGCUUUCUUUCUCCUCUUACCAUCUCUCCCCAUUCUGUCUACAAGUUUCAUUCUGCUGUUUUUGUAUUUUGGUGACUGAAUAAACUUCUGCAUUUCAAUUCAA